rnacentral:rRNA from 1 species
GACGAACGCUGGCGGCGUGCUUAACACAUGCAAGUCGAACGGCAAGGCCCUGCUUUUGUGGGGUGCUCGAGUGGCGAACGUGUGAGUAACACGUGAGUAACCUGCCCUUGACUUUGGGAUUACUUCAGGACACAGGGGCUAAUACCGGAUAGGAGCUCCUGCUGCAUGGUGGGGGUUGGAAAGUUUCGGCGGUUGGGGAUGGACUCGCGGCUUAUCAGCUUGUUGGUGGGGUAGUGGCUUACCAAGGCUUUGACGGGUAGCCGGCCUGAGAGGGUGACCGGCCACAUUGCGACUGAGAUACGGCCCAGACUCCUACGGGAGGCAGCAGUGGGGAAUAUUGCACAAUGGGCGGAAGCCUGAGGCAGCAACGCCGCGUGCGGGAUGACGGCCUUGGGGUUGUAAACCGCUGUGGGCUGUGACGAAGCGUAAGUGACGGUAAUUGGUAAAGAAGCACCGGCUAACUACGUG